rnacentral:rRNA from 1 species
UACGAAGGGGGCUAGCGUUGUUCGGAUUUACUGGGCGUAAAGCGCACGUAGGCGGAUUCUUAAGUCAGGGGUGAAAUCCCGAGGCUCAACCUCGGAACUGCCUUUGAUACUGAAGAUCUUGAGUUCGGGAGAGGUGAGUGGAACUGCGAGUGUAGAGGUGAAAUUCGUAGAUAUUCGCAAGAACACCAGUGGCGAAGGCGGCUCACUGGCCCGAUACUGACGCUGAGGCACGAAAGCGUGGGGAGCAAACAGG